rfam:Ovis aries breed Texel chromosome 1, whole genome shotgun sequence.
UUCAGAUAUGGAGACAUGGUGCCCAAGACGAUUGCAGGAAAGAUCUUCGGUUCCAUCUGCUCACUGAGCGGUGUCCUCGUCAUUGCCCUGCCGGUCCCUGUGAUCGUUUCCAAC